rnacentral:lncRNA from 1 species
UCAUAUUAUUUAUUUUGAAAGAUUAUUUUUGGUAAUGUAAAAUAUUUCAUUUUCCUAUCAUUUUCCAUCCCUUCAAAUCCUCCCACUUUUGAGAGGGAAAUUUUGAGCCAAAAAUAAAAUUAAUUUUACCUCCAAAUCCCUUCCUUCCCCCUAAAAAAACUCACAUGAGAUUUGAAGAGAUUUUAAUUAUUUUUCCUUCCCUUUCUCAAAUAAAAACUUAAGGUUUUAAAUUUCCCCGAGAAGCUUUACG